rnacentral:rRNA from 1 species
UACGGAGGGGCCUAGCGUUGUUCGGAAUUACUGGGCGUAAAGCGCACGUAGGCGGCUUGUUAAGUCAGGGGUGAAAUCCUGGAGCUCAACUCCAGAACUGCCUUUGAUACUGGCGAGCUUGAGUUCGGGAGAGGUGAGUGGAACUGCGAGUGUAGAGGUGAAAUUCGUAGAUAUUCGCAAGAACACCAGUGGCGAAGACGGGUUGCUGGGCUGACACUGACGCUGAGGCGCGAAAGCCAGGGGAGCAAACGGG